AAGGGAGUGGACUUAGGGUGGAUUCCGGACUUGACUCUAAUGAUAUAGGAUAGAUUGCAUUGGUUCCAUGAGUUAUAGUUUUUGAGAAAAGUGGUGACAGUACCCUACGUGAGCUGGAGGUCCCGUUCUUUAAGUCGAUUACCGAGCAUUCCCAUGGUGUGGGUGGACAAUAUAGGAGCAUGUUUGAAAUGGGGUGGGGCCAAGGGAGUGGGCUUGUGGUGAAUUCCCAAGCUUGAUUGGGGUGAUAUAGGGUGGAUAGCAUUUGCUGAUUCUGGUGAUAUGGGUGAAUUGCAUUUGUGCUAUGAGCUAUAUCUUUAUGGCAAAGUAAUAGAAUAGAAUACUAGAAACCUGACCAUUUGUAAACAAUAAAUAAUAUAUUGGUAGCAACAGCAGCAUAUCAGGAAAUACAGAUAUCCGGAACUGAUUGCUAAGAGGCAGGGAUGCAUUACAAUAUAAUAGCAGCAGGUGAAGGAGAGUAUAUGUCAAAACAAUUUAAGAUCAUAAGCAGCAAGACAAAAAGUCAACAUUAUUUGCCUGUUUGAGCCCCAUUUUUGUGUACAAAAUGCACUUUGAAAUAGUAUUUUAAUGGAGAAUGUGUGACUAAAAAAUAAGGAAAAGUUUCGGGUUUCCCUGUGAUAUUAUUUUAUUGAAGUAUGUGUGGUUUAAAAUAAGAGAGAAAAAAAUGUAUUUUGAAAAAAAUGGGGACCAAACAAGGGCCAUAUAAACGACUUGAAGAUUCGACGAAGACGAAAACUAGAUGAAGAAUAGAAUACUAGAAACCUGACCAUUUGUAAACAAUAAAUGAUAUAUUGGUAGCAACAGCAGCAUAUCAGGAAAUACAGAUAUCCGGCACUGAUUGCUAAGAGGCAGGGAUGCAUUACAAUAUAAUAGCAGCAGGUGAAGGAGAGUAUAUGUCAAAACAAUUUAAGAUCAUAAGCAGCAAGACAAAAAGUCAACAUUAUUUGCCUGUGAUAGCAGAAAUUGGUGAUGAAGAAUAGAAUACUAGAAACCUUACAUCAAAUCACUAGGUAGAAAUGAUAAUUUCCAUACCAAACAUCUAAUGAAUGAAGUAGAUCACAUACAGAUCUAUGCAUAUUUAAAGCCGUAAUCACAAAAAGAUAAUAACAUUCAUGAUUAAUUGGAAAUGUCAAGCUAUUUAAGUAUGGAACAUUGGAGGACCAUUUAAUGAUCUCAAUUACACGUAAAUGGAUUUCUAAUAGAAAGACUGGACCUUUCCUAGAAUACAAUUAAAAAAAAUCUCAAUCCUUUAAGGACCAUGCUACACGUACAUAAUGGCUUACCUAACCAUUUACACCCUACUCACAUAAUCAAGGUGGGGACCACGGCUCAACAUUAUUAAAUACACGCGGGGCCCGCGUGUUUGUGAGAGGGGGUAAACGUUUCGGUAAAUCCCCCCUUGGUACAAAGAGAAUAAUCCAUCCUUUAAAGUAUCCAAUUUUCUUCUCCACAAGUCACAUCGAAGUCCCCUAAAGCCAAUUGGUAACUACCAUGACAACCAUCUUCCAACACUCGCAAAAAAUUAAAACCACCUGCAACCAAACUUCUCACAGAACCUUGCAGAUAGGAUCUGUGCCAUAGGCCGAGGGGUUUGGCAGGAUUUACAUCAUGGAAAACUUUGGACGGAAAAUAGGUAAGAUCAACGACACUAGGAGCACAGCCUCCAUUUGACCAAUGUAUUCUCAUCUAUCUUGACAAUGUGCCCCUUAUUCAAUGAUUCUAAGUCUCAUCCAUCGUAGGGCUUCAGUUAAAUGAUCCCUGGUUUUACUUUUCAAAUUUUCAAUUUCAUGCAUUUUGAUAACGUUACAACAGACAGUUGGGUGUUGUUUGAGCUGGUUUUGAGGGGUAGUACAGCUAUGGUCAUGGAAUUCACUGAUGCUUGUUAAGACGAGAUUGAUAAUAAGGGGUUGGGCUAUCCUGCACGUUGUAUAACUUUUUUUUUCUUGGUUGUUGUGUGUUGUUGAAGGGGUGGGGCGGACCACAUAGGGAUUUGGGGAGACAAAAAUCAAUGAAAAUUACUUGGCAUCUUCACUAUAAAUUAGAAGGUUGAAAAUUCUCUUCUCCAUCCCUUAAGAGUGCGAAAAUGAUAGUAGAGAUUGUUGGUUGAUAAUUGUAGUAUGAUGGGGUGUAACUUUUAUGCGAAUGAUGGCCUUACUCUAUCUAGCAGCAGUUGUGGUAGCCCAAUUCAGGGAAGAAGGCAAUUCAUGAUAUCCGGGAAAAAGUGAUUUACCAUAGUUGAAAGCUUCCCCAAUAUAUUGCGCCAACCAAAACAAAAGAGUACAUUAUAGUAGUCUAACCACCACCAUAUAAGCAAAACUAACAGCACAGGUAGACAAAUAGACACUAAAUCAAGAAAACAGCAAGGGUAAUUAUAUUACCACCACAAAACUUAUUUCCUACACCACAUUAUAAUAACACCACAAUUAAAAUCUAUUUUCAAUAAUUG
rnacentral:lncRNA from 1 species